AGGUGCGAUCAUACCAUCACUAAUGCACCGAAUCCUAUUGGAACUCCGAAGUUAAGCGUACUUGGGAGAGAAUUGUACUAAGUCAGGCAUUUUCAUAGGACUUCCACCGACACAGGUA
rnacentral:rRNA from 1 species